AAACUUGCCCGUCGAAAGCCUAAGGUUUCCUGGGGAAGGUUCAUCCGCCCAGGGUCAGUCGGGGCCUAAGCCGAGGACGGAAGUCGUAGGCGAUGGACAGCAGGUGGAGAUUCCUGCACCGCCUUGAGAAUGAAGCAAUGACACAGAAGGAUAGCAUGAGCCGGGUGAUGGUCAACUCGGUUUCCACAGCGAGGGUGCUUGGUAGUGAAGUACGUCAAGCAAAAGCCUGAGCCGAAGAGGGAGCGAAAUCAAGUAGCGAAGCAUGCGAUUUCACGCUGGCGAGAAAAGUUGCUAGUAUAUCGAAGAGGCGCCCGUACCGCAAUCCGACGCAGGUAGGCGAGAAGAGAAUUCUAAGACGAACGGGAGAAUCCUUGUUAAGGAACUCGGCAAAAUGACCCCGUAACUUCGGGAGAAGGGGUGCCGAUGGAAACAUCGGUCGCAGAGAAUAGGCUCAAGCAACUGUUUAGCAAAAACACAGGUAUCUGCGAAAGAGAGAUCUGACGUAUAGGUGCUGACACCUGCCCGGUGCUGGAAGGUUAAGGGGAAAUGUUAGGGAAACCGAAGCAUAGAACCGAAGCCCCAGUAAACGGCGGCCGUAACUAUAACGGUCCUAAGGUAGCGAAAUUCCUUGUCGGGUAAGUUCCGACCCGCACGAAUGGUGUAACGAUUUGAGCGCUGUCUCAACAGGGGGCCCGGUGAAAUUGAAGUAUGGGUGAAGAUGCCCAUUACCCGCGACUGGACGGAAAGACCCCGUAGAGCUUGACUGUAGCUUGAUAUUGGAUUUCGGUAACGGAUGCACAGCAUAGGUGGGAGACAGGGAAACCACUACUUCGGUAGUGAUGGAGUCGCCGUUGGGAUACCACUCUUCUGUUAUUGGAAUUCUAACAUAGCGCCAUGAAACUGGUGGAUGGACAGUGUCAGGUGGGCAGUUUGACUGGGGCGGUCGCCUCCAAAAGAGUAACGGAGGCGCCCAAAGGUACCCUCAGAAUGGAUGGAAACCAUUCAAAGAGUGCAAAGGCAGAAGGGUGCUUGACUGUGAGAGUGACAACUCGAUCAGAGACGAAAGUCGGGCUUAGUGAUCCGGCGGUAUUGAGUGGAAAAGCCGUCGCUUAACGGAUAAAAGCUACCUCGGGGAUAACAGGCUGAUCUCCCCCAAGAGUCCACAUCGACGGGGAGGUUUGGCACCUCGAUGUCGGCUCGUCGCAUCCUGGGGCUGAAGCAGGUCCCAAGGGUUUGGCUGUUCGCCAAUUAAAGCGGCACGCGAGCUGGGUUCAGAACGUCGUGAGACAGUUCGGUCCCUAUCCAUCGUGGGCGUAGGAGUCAUGAAGGGAGCUGUUCCUAGUACGAGAGGACCGGAAUGGACGCACCACUGGUGCAACUGUUGUCGUGCCAACGGCAUAGCAGGGAAGCGAAGUGCGGAUGGGAUAAACGCUGAAGGCAUCUAAGCGUGAAGCCCACCUCGAGAAUAAGAUUCCAGGCAGCAAUGCGAGAGACCCCUGGAAGACUACCAGGUGAUAGGUCGUCGGUGGAAGCGCAGUAAUGUGUGUAGCUUGACGAUACUAAUCGGUCGAUAGCUUGAUUU
rnacentral:rRNA from 1 species